rnacentral:rRNA from 1 species
UACAGAGGGUGCGAGCGUUAAUCGGAGUUACUGGGCGUAAAGGGCGCGUAGGCGGUUAUAUGAGUGUGAUGUGAAAGCCCCGGGCUUAACCUGGGAAGUGCAUCGCUAACGAUAUAACUGGAGUAGAUGAGAGGGUGGUGGAAUUUCCGGCGUAGCGGUGAAGUGCGUAGAGAUCGGAAGGAACGUCAAUGGCGAAGGCAGCCACCUGGCAUCAUACUGACGCUGAGGCGCGAAAGCGUGGGGAUCGAACAGG